GAGGAUCGUCGCGGCCCGCAUCGUCCGGC
rnacentral:sRNA from 1 species